GAACGUCUCUGACCGCUGACUGAACCAGAGUCUGCAGCACUGUGGUUAGACUGGAUAGAGCUGCACUGCACAAAGUCACGUUCUCUAUCUGUGUGUGUGUGUUUGUUGUGCUAUACCGUGUGAGUAGGAACCUUCAGCAUUUGUAGUCGGAUGUCGACUUUGUGGCACACAUCAAGGAGCGGGAGGAAGAAAAUGAGACCUGGAAAGAGUAGAGGGUGGUGAUACCAUGUCCCAAACGGGGCCGUGGGAGGGGCUGAAACCAAUUCCAGCCGACAAUCGGGCGAAGGCCCAUCACAAACUGUAAGUGUCAAAUUGUUUUUCCUCAGACUAAUACUUCACAUACUUUCUACUGAAGAAAUCACAGUAAUAUUUGUGAAGUAGAUUACGGUACAGCAUUUAGUUUAAGUUUUAUAUGUGGUGUAGUUCGUACUUUAACACAGAACCAGAUAGAGAAAGGGAGGAAGAGAAGAACUAGAGCCAAGACGAAGACCAUCAGCAGCCACUC